rnacentral:misc_RNA from 1 species
CAUCAAAUCUCUAAGAGCUUACCCAUUUAUUUAUUUGGCUGCCUCUAUAUUUCCUCUUAUAAAUAGGUUUGCACUCAUUACUUUUUUGCUCUUUUUUCCUAGCAUUUCAAUAUUUUAUCCAUUGGGUUCUUUAAAAUUAUAACUACCUGUCUAUAUUAAAAUCUUCUUUUUUAAAGAACAAUUUUGAUGUAUCAAAGACUAAUUUGUUUAACAGAGUUUCAAUUCAUGAACAUGCUUUAAAUUUAUUGUCAUUCAGUUAUUUACUAAUGGAGAAUUAAUGACUGUAUUUGAUAUGCUUUAAACAACUUUUUCAAAUGUUUGAAGAAACCUUUUUCCCUCUUAGAUCAAAGCUUACAUGUAUAUGAUAUUGACACAUAUCUAAAUACUGCUGCUUCCCUGUUCAAUGUGAUGUACAUAUAUAUACAUGUAUAAUGUAUUACAGAAUUCAGAAUGCAGCAGCACCGGAUGACCCAGUCUUUGCUCUCGUUAUUUUGGCUGCCCUUACUGCUCCUCUGCAUGGUAAUUUAAUCCCCCCCCCCCAUUCUCUCUGCUGCAGAAUAAUGUUCAUUUCCAAGAAAAAAAAUUAAAAUGAUUAACAAAUCUUUUACAUAAAAUUACAUCAUGUAUAUAUACCCAGAUAGUUCGUGUGCAGUUCUUUUGACUAGUAUUUUCCUUGCUAUGAUCUUUUAUAUCAAUUAACUUUUAAACCAUUCAACCUUUAAUCAGCUGAAUUUAAUUGCUUGCCUAAUUGUUACUUUUAACAUUUAGUUAAAUGUUUAUCAAGUUUGGGUUUUUACUGGAACUACAUAAUUCAUAUAAAUCUAUGUUUCUACAUGAUUGAUAUACAAGGUAGUGUAAAACACCUGUGAAACAUGUGUUUGGUUUUUAAGGUGCCAUGAAUGCUAUAGUGUUUGGGAUGGAUAGAGAGACCCUGAGGAAGCUGACACCAACACAGAUCAAGGUGGCAUUUAUGGCCAGAAUGACAAAAACAGCAUCAAUUCAAGAGUUUCAUCCACAGUCACGGACAGACGAAGAGGAGAGUCAACAAGAGUAGGACUGAUCAACUGGGAAUGCUGGGAUUUGAGGUCAAAUAUAAUGAUGACAGCAUUCAAUCAUCAGGAGUUGACUGAAAUUCAUGUGUGGUGCAAGAUUCUUGAGUAGGAAAAUGUGAAUCAGAAGAUACACAUGUAAGGCAGUUUAGUUCAUGUUCACCAAGCCAAACAGUAGUUUGGAGUUCCAACCCUCCAACAUAUCUAUGGUAUUUAAGAUAUCAUUGUUCAAAUUUUCAAAGUUCAAAUAUAGGUGGUUCAGCAUUCAUCCCUUUGAAAAUUUAUUUGAAAAUUUUUUUCCUUAUAAAGAAAUCUGAAAUUACAUAUAGUUGUACCCGGUAGUUGAAAUUCACAGUUAUAUGUAUAUACCUUGCAAAGACAAAAUUCUAAUAACAAAAUACCCCUUUUAAAAAAGUUUUACAAUAUUUAAAAGGAAUAGUAAUUAUUUUUAGAGUGAGAGUUAUAUUUCUUUUGAAAGGGAUAAUGUACUGUAAAACAUUUUUAAAAAGAGGUGCUGUUUGCCCUCAAACUCCUACUGUGUUAAUUUUCAUAUCAAAAUCAAAUUAUUUUUUUUUUUUAUUUUAAAUUACUUUUAUCAAACAUCUCGCAUCAUGAACAAAUAAACGUUUUUGUUAUACAUUAUGAUCACGUAUAAGUUUCUACAUGUUAUUCUAUCGAGAAAAUGUACACAAAAGUACAAUGCAAUUACAUGUUCUGUGGUAAUACAUGUACAUGUAUGUAUCAAGGAUCUUUAUACAUAAAAAAUUGAAAAGGAAAAAUUUGAAAGUCAAAACAAGGCUCAAAUACAAAUUAUUUUUUCUUUCCAAAGACAAAAAUAUGAUUACUAUACAAUACAUUUUUUUUUUUAUAUGUUUAAAUCAGAAUAAUGGAAAUUUUUCCUCAAGAGAUAUAAAAAAAAUUAGGAUGCGUGCAAUAGACUGUUGAUGCUGUUCUUAAUAAAAUAUUAUAUGCAUGUACAUGGUUAUAUGUGUCAAACAGUUGAAUGUUGUUAAUGUAUUUAUUUACUUUGUGUUUAACGUGAAGGAUUUUGUAGCUUUUGUGUAAAUGUGUAGAUGAUGUGUCUGCAUUUAUUGAUCAUGAUUUACUGGUAUAGAAAAGAACAAAUUCAAAUGCAUAUAACAUACAAACAGGGAAUACUGGUUUGAGAAUUAACUCUAGAAUAUAACGUAAACAUAUUUAUAACUUCAUGUUUUAAGCAUACAAUGUAUGUGCAUUUCUAUAUUUCUACGUCAGCUGUUGUUAUAUUUAUUAAAAAAUUAAAAUUUUAUUAAAUUGU